AAAGCCCCUUCUAGGAAUAGAUUUUCUGAGUGGAGAAUGCUAGGUCGGAGCACAUUUAAGAUGACUUGCUCAAGUGUCAAACUUUGCCUGAGGAGGGCACCAGCAUAAACUGGUUAUUAGAAAAAGGCCUGGGUGAAGAGAAGAGUAAUCCUUGGGGCAAGGCAGGGCUUUGGGGACAUGCACGGUAUUGAGCAAAGAAGACUGUUUGGAGUUGGAAUACCUCUCAGAUAAAAUCUGAAUGAUCUUAUUGCUUUUGACAUGGAUCAAGCUUUAUUUUGGAGCCGACUUCACAAAAGAAUGAGG